rnacentral:rRNA from 1 species
ACAUCGGUGACAGGUGGUGCAUGGUUGUCGUCAGCUCGUGUCGUGAGAUGUUGGGUUAAGUCCCGCAACGAGCGCAACCCCUAUUGUUAGUUGCCAUCAUUCAGUUGGGCACUCUAGCGAGACUGCCGGUAAUAAACCGGAGGAAGGUGGGGAUGACGUCAAAUCAUCAUGCCCCUUAUGACCUGGGCUACACACGUGCUACAAUGGUUGGUACAACGAGUUGCGAGUCGGUGACGGCGAGCUAAUCUCUUAAAGCCAAUCUCAGUUCGGAUUGUAGGCUGCAACUCGCCUACAUGAAGUCGGAAUCGCUAGUAAUCGCGGAUCAGCACGCCGCGGUGAAUACGUUCCCGGGCCCU